GAGUUGUAAAGAGGUUGAUAUAGGCCCUUAUACGUGUGGUGCUGUAAGUGAACAAAAAGGAAGGUGUGGAAAGAAAAUGCUGGAAGAGAUUAAGAAGAAAUAAUGCAUCAGAAAGAUCUGUUUAAGAAGUACUCUUGAGGUUAUAUAGUUCUUGAGAUGUGGAUAUUUGAUCUCUUUAGAUAUUGCUUCAGAGGCAGAUGCAAAAGUGACUAAUUUUAUCCGUAAAUUUUUGCCGAGAUGAUGUUAAAGUAUUAAUAUUACAGUUGAAGAUAAGAUGAAAGCAGCUCCAUCCGAUAUUGCAAAUACCAAAAAUGAUGUUUGGUUCAAAUAAUUUGGUUUUUUUAAGAUCAUCAAUACCACCUGGUAUGUUAAUCGCAGCAGAGAACACUGCUGUAGCAAUAACAGUUGAGAUGAGCAUGCAAAACUCAGCAGUUCGUUUCAUCCACUCUUCUCCUUUAUUUCGCAAUCUUUCAUGCUCUUUUGUGAAUAAUUUCUUAGCAGUUACGCCAUCAGAAUUUUUCACUAUAUGGAGGCAUUAUCUUCUCCACCUCCUGUCACAUAUACGUUGAAGAUUCUCCCUCCUUCCUUCUCCUCCGUUUCUCCUGCCAUUGUUCUCGUUCAGUUGUUGCUAUUAUCGAAGUUGUGGAGGUGGUUGGGUGAAGCUGUUGUUCGACGUUUGAAGUUGUUCGUUGUGGUUAAAGUUCUCUACUGUCUUGGGUGAAACCUUUGCCUUGUCUGGCUGAGAAAAUUAGCUCCGAGCCAAACUCUAACCAGUUCCGUUCCGAACUGAAAACCAGAGAGAAACACUGAGAUUCAUUCAAUCACCUUAACUUAAAUGCAUGUAAUUACGCAUUGUGUCGAGGGAACUUCGAUCUUCGUUAUCAGCGAUGGAUGCGUGGAACGAAGAUUUUGCGGAGCAGGAGAUUGGGAACUUCGCGGAAUCGUUCCAUAAGUUUUUGCUUUCGCAGAGAGAUCUCUUGCACAGCCAGAUCGAUCAGUUUGAGGAAAUCGUCGUCACGCAAUGCAAACUCACCGGCGUCAACCCUCUCUCUCAAGAAAUGGUUUUUGAGCAGAGGCGGUGGAAUAACUUUAGCUACUUGGUUGAGUAAGACAACUGCUGAGGAGCAAACCAGUGUCCUUCUUAUCUUGAAGGUUCUUUGUCAUUUUCCUUUACAUAAAGCCAUUCCCUUUUUGUUCUGGUUGACUGAUGCUGGAGAUUCCCGGUUUGAAGGUCGUGAGCGUGUGCAAUAUACCAGGGAGUAGCUCUUACAACUCAGAGAGGUAUUUUUUAUGUUAUUGCUGCUUUAAUGUUAUAAUAUCCGUGAGUGCCACUUUCUUCUUUCUAUAUUUUCCAAGCGAUCGUGCUCUUUGACUUCUGAACAAAAUAAGCUUGGAAAAGGCCAUUAUUGAUAAUAAAAGUAACAGAUGGUACGCUCUUCCACUCCCAAAACCUCACUCCCGUCCAAUCCACCAUCUCUGCAACUAUUGAUUCUCAGUCUUCCAUUUGUGUUGGGAGCCCAGUUUCUGCUAACAAACCAAAUGGAAGAGAUAACGAAGUGAAAGGAGCGACCACAACAAGUGGUUCUUCACGUGAGCCAUCUGAUGAAGAUGAUGAAGCAGGUCUCUGUGAACAAAGCACAAACGCUGUUGACACCAAACGUCUUAGAAGGAAGGAUUCUAAUAGAGAGUCUGCAAGGAGGUCGAGAAGAAGAAAACAAGCCCAUUUGUCUGACCUGGAGUGGCAAGUAAUUUAUCAAACAACAUUCUUCUCACUUUUCUGCUUUUUUUUAUCAUUUUUUUUCCAUGUCUUAUUUAAUAUAUUUUAUUUACGGGUUAAUAAUUUUUUAUAAAUUUACUAAUAAUAAAAACUCAUGUUAAGGAAAUGUAUUAGAAAAUAUAGGUACCAGUACCUUAACCUAAAACGACGUAAACUUUUUGUUUU